CUACGGGUGGCAGCAGCAAGGAAUAUUGGGCAAUGGGCGAAAGCCUGAUCCAGCGACACCGCGUGGGGGAAGAAGGCCCUCGGGUUGUAAACCCCUUUUAUCGGGGAAGAAAACUGACGGUACCCGAUGAAUAAGCCUCGGCUAACUACGUGCCAGCAGCCGCGGUAAUACGUAGGAGGCGAGCGUUAUCCGGAUUCACUGGGCGUAAAGCGGGCGUAGGCGGCUUGUCAAGUCGGAUGUGAAAUCUCCUGGCUCAACUGGGAGGGUGCAUUCGAUACUGAUGGGCUAGAGUUCAGCAGAGGGAAGCGGAAUUCCCGGUGUAGUGGUGAAAUGCGUAGAUAUCGGGAAGAACACUAGUGGCGAAGGCGGCUUCCUGGGCUGUCACUGACGCUGAGGUCCGAAGGCGUGGGGAGCAAACAGGAUUAGAUACCCCUGUAGUC
rnacentral:rRNA from 1 species